rnacentral:lncRNA from 1 species
CAAGAAUAAUAUUCAUGUACCAAAAAUAAUUUGGAUAGAAAAGAAUCAAUUUUUUGUCGUGAAUAGUACCCCGUAAAUAGUACUUCGGGAAUAGUACCUUGUGAAUAGUACCCCGACAUGAAAAAUACCCCAAAUACCCGAGUGAAUAAUAUUCGGGUGAAUAGUAAUUUGGGCGAAUAGUAACACGUGAAUAGUACUCCGACACAAAAAAUGCCCCGAAUACCCGAGUGAAUAAUACUAGAGUGAAUAGUAACUUGGUGAAUAGUAACCCGUGAAUAGUAACUCGUAAAAAAAAUACCAAAAAAAUGAU